UACAGAGGGGGCAAGCGUUAUUCGGAAUUAUUGGGCGUAAAGGGCGCGUAGGCGGCUUGGCAAGUGGAUGGUGAAAUCCCUCGGCUUAACCGAGGAACUGCCGUCCAAACUGCUUCGCUUGAGACCGGGAGAGGUAAGUGGAAUUCCCAGUGUAGCGGUGAAAUGCGUAGAUAUUGGGAGGAACACCAGUGGCGAAGGCGGCUCACUGGACCGGUACUGACGCUGAUGCGCGAAAGCGUGGGGAGCAAACGGG
rnacentral:rRNA from 1 species